AGUGAACGCUGGCGGUAGGCCUAACACAUGCAAGUCGAACGACAGCACAGUAAGAGCUUGCUCUUACGGGUGGCGAGUGGCGGACGGGUGAGGAAUACAUCGGAAUCUACUUUUUCGUGGGGGAUAACGUAGGGAAACUUACGCUAAUACCGCAUACGACCUACGGGUGAAAGCAGGGGAUCUUCGGACCUUGCGCGAUUGAAUGAGCCGAUGUCGGAUUAGCUAGUUGGCGGGGUAAAGGCCCACCAAGGCGACGAUCCGUAGCUGGUCUGAGAGGAUGAUCAGCCACCCUGGAACUGAGACACGGUCCAGACUCCUACGGGAGGCAGCAGUGGGGAAUAUUGGACAAUGGGCGCAAGCCUGAUCCAGCCAUACCGCGUGGGUGAAGAAGGCCUUCGGGUUGUAAAGCCCUUUUGUUGGGAAAGAAAAGCAGCAGGUUAAUACCCCGCUGUUCUGACGGUACCCAAAGAAUAAGCACCGGCUAACUUCGUG
rnacentral:rRNA from 1 species